AUUGAACGCUAGCGGCAGGCCUAACACAUGCAAGUCGAGCGGAUGAAGGGAGCUUGCUCCUGGAUUCAGCGGCGGACGGGUGAGUAAUGCCUAGGAAUCUGCCUGGUAGUGGGGGAUAACGUCCGGAAACGGGCGCUAAUACCGCAUACGUCCUGAGGGAGAAAGUGGGGGAUCUUCGGACCUCACGCUAUCAGAUGAGCCUAGGUCGGAUUAGCUAGUUGGUGGGGUAAAGGCCUACCAAGGCGACGAUCCGUAACUGGUCUGAGAGGAUGAUCAGUCACACUGGAACUGAGACACGGUCCAGACUCCUACGGGAGGCAGCAGUGGGGAAUAUUGGACAAUGGGCGAAAGCCUGAUCCAGCCAGGCCGCGUGUGUGAAGAAGGUCUUCGGAUUGUAAAGCACUUUAAGUUGGGAGGAAGGGCAGUAAGUUAAUACCUUGCUGUUUUGACGUUACCAACAGAAUAAGCACCGGCUAACUUCGUG
rnacentral:rRNA from 1 species